ensembl:snRNA U6 U6 spliceosomal RNA
AUUCUUCCUUCAGCAGCACAUGUAAUAAAGUUGGAAUGAUACAGAGGAGAUUAGCCUGGCCUCUGCACAAGAAUAACACAAAAAUCUGUGAAUCAUUCUACAUAUUC